UAUCUAUGGUGGCGACCGGCGCACGGGUGCGUAACGCGUAUGCAACCUACCUUUAACAGGGGGAUAACACUGAGAAAUUGGUACUAAUACCCCAUAAUAUCAUAGAAGGCAUCUUUUAUGGUUGAAAAUUCCGAUGGUUAGAGAUGGGCAUGCGUUGUAUUAGCUAGUUGGUGGGGUAACGGCUCACCAAGGCGACGAUACAUAGGGGGACUGAGAGGUUAACCCCCCACACUGGUACUGAGACACGGACCAGACUCCUACGGGAGGCAGCAGUGAGGAAUAUUGGCCAAUGGACGCAAGUCUGAACCAGCCAUGCCGCGUGCAGGAUGACGGCUCUAUGAGUUGUAAACUGCUUUUGUACGAGGGUAAACGCAGAUACGUGUAUCUGUCUGAAAGUAUCGUACGAAUAAGGAUCGGCUAACUCCGUGCCAGCAGCCGCGGUAAUACGGAGGAUUCAAGCGUUAUCCGGAUUUAUUGGGUUUAAAGGGUGCGUAGGCGGUUUGAUAAGUUAGAGGUGAAAUUUCGGGGCUCAACCCUGAACGUGCCUCUAAUACUGUUGAGCUAGGGAGUAGUUGCGGUAGGCGGAAUGUAUGGUGUAGCGGUGAAAUGCUUAGAGAUCAUACAGAACACCGAUUGCGAAGGCAGCUUACCAAACUAUAUCUGACGUUGAGGCACGA
rnacentral:rRNA from 1 species